rnacentral:rRNA from 1 species
AUUGAACGCUGGCGGCAGGCCUAACACAUGCAAGUCGAACGAGUGGCGGACGGGUGAGUAAUGUCUGGGAAACUGCCCGAUGGAGGGGGAUAACUCCUGGAAACGGUAGCUAAUACCGCAUACCAUCGGAUGUGCCCAUAUGGGAUUAGCUAGUAGGUGGGGUAACGGCUAACCUAGGCGACGAUCCCUAGCUGGUCUGAGAGGAUGACAAGCCACACUGGAACUGAGACACGGGCCAGACGCCUACGGGAGGCAGCAGUGGGGAAGAGUGCACAAUGGGAGCAAGCCUGAUGAAGCCAUGCCGCGUGUAUGAAGAAGGCCUUCGGGUUGUAAAGUACUUUCAGCGGGGAAGCGUUACUCGCAGAAGAAGCAACGGCUAACUCCGUGCCAGCAGCCGCGGUAAUAC